UGCCUUUAUGUGUUGCCCUUUCAUUGUUCUCAUAGUGAUCAGGGUGUCAAAUAAGGCAUACAUCAACACUUGUGACUGUCUGUUAAAUGAGUUUCAAGUAAUUCCUUUACAUGGACAGCUGCAAGGACAUAU